GUCAGCGCCAUCUUCUAACGGCAAUAGCGAUAGCGAGGGCGGCUCCUCACACUCAUGCCUAUAGAUUGCUGCUCAUCUGGCGUCUGCUUGGCUGGUUCACCUGUUGACCAUCGUCUCUUGAGGUCACCGUGUCCCUUCUGUGUCUCUAGUGGCUUGAGUUAUGAUGACCUGGGAAUUGGGAACCAGUCUUUGCCUUUCAGAAUGCAACCAGCCUGCUUUUGGCUGAGUGUGAGGGAGCAAACUCCACUGGGCCGCAGCUAGUAUCAUCACAGCCAAACAGACUUCUUUUCCCUCUGAUUUGUGAACUAAUAUGCCACUAGCUAUACAUUUACUGGGACAAACACACCCAUGGGUGGUAUAUGUGUAAUACCAUUCCCAAAUUCAGUUUUUUAAAAACAGCCUUGUUGAGGUAAAAUCCGUAAACAACAAACACACAUACUGUGUGUAUUCUGCUGGGCUUGGGCAGAUUAAUGCCAUGGACAUCAAUGAUGCCAUUAUGCAAAUAAAUCUAAGUGCCCAGUGUGUUUUUGGUGGUAAGAACACUUACACAAAUACGACAUACUUCUACAUACAUGUUUAAGAGCACAACACUAUAUUAACUACAUUUUCAGUAGAAAAACAUGCAUAGAUAUAAACUUAUUUCACAUCACUCUUCACCUGUUUUUCAAUGAACAUAUGGGUUAUUUCUCUAUGUUGACUAUUAUACAUAAUCCAGACUUCACAUUUGGUCUAAAUGCAAUUAGCAAGAAGUAUGAAACCUGUUCUUGGUGUGAAAUUUGAAUGCGCUGUGUGGCUCAUGUGGUCAUGCCAGUUUCUAUGCUAUCGCCUGUCCCCCGUGGGUAACACAGUACCCAGGGCACGUGGGGCACGCAAAGGACCUGUCACUCACAUGAAUAUAAUGACAAAUGGGAAAGUAGUUUCCAGAACAGUUUCAGUCGCAGGGGAAGAUCUAAGAAAGGUGACGUGCCAAGGGCAUGCCAUCUCCUGCUUCACUUCCUGGCAGUGUGGCUUUGGGCACUUAAGGGAAAGCUUUAAGAGCAGCACGUCCCUGCUCAGGUCUUCAGAGGCCUUGCCCUCACUCUCCCAGGUUCAGGUGACCCUUCUGGGCUGUGCUUCCUGAAGAAAGCUCCCCAGCGCUCAUUCCUGUCAUUCUCUCCCAGGCUCUCCUGUAUGGUCGUCUUCAAGCCACCAAGUCACCCCACCUGAAAUGAUGUCAUCUAACACUUAUUUACGUCUGGACUUCAAAAGGAAGGGUUCAAGUGAAGACCCAGGCAGGACGCUACCUUGCAUCUGCAAGGUGACAUUUGCUCAUCCUCUGCAGCAAAGGACACUGGAUGGCAGGGUAGAGAGACACGAUUGGAGUUUCACAGGUGGAGGGGAAUCCGGGUCCAGGCAGGUGUCCAAAGUAACUGAGCUAGAAGUAAGUUUCAGAGUUGGGGCUCCACCUCCGGCCUCCUCAUCCUCAUGCUGUUUAUUCCAUUCUGUAGUUCGUCUCGACCGCAAGCUCGGUGGAAUUUAAAUUCACCCUGGAAACAAACAUCCGAACAUGUCUGUGAGGGCAUUGCCAGGGAGGCUUAAUUAAGGAGCCUGAGGGUGGAUUGCUUUAACCCCUGAAUUGGGUCCUGGACCAAAAUAUACAUAGGAAACUGAGAUCUGAGCAUAGCAUCCAUUGCUCUGUUUCCUGGGCGAAGAUGCCAUGUGCCUAGCUUCCUCACCCUGUGGCAGCCAUGCCUUCCUCACUGUAGAUAUGAGCCGCAGCUGGCUGUCAGAGCGUGCGUAGCAAUAGACUGUCUGCUGUCCUUGGGCUCUAGUCAUUUAAACACAGAGUUCACUUGGGAGAAGUUACAGCCAGGGUGAUUUCCCAAGUGGAAUCUUCCCUCCGUGGCCUCGUUUUUUUGUUCUGGACAGCUGCAUGACCAGAGUCUAUAAAUUAAGACGUAGGCAAGAGAGGCCAGCCAGCUCUUCAUAACCAAGCUCCACCCUCUCCCAUCAGCCUUGAAAGCGGACCUGAGUGAGCUUCACCCAUGAGCUCACUUUGCCCUCUGCCUUCCUGUUUGUUUUGGCAACUGACCGUAGUGAGAGGAAAAUAAACUUGGGGUGCUCAUUCUGGCUUCACCCUCACCGAAGACGGGUCCACCUUCUGAGACCCCUGAUAGGUGGCUCUUUUUGUAUAGAUACUCUCUCUGCAGAGUCUCCCUCCCAUCCCUCAGGGCUGCAUAAGGUAAUUAAGACUCUCCACUGAGGUGUUCCUGGGGACACUGUAUUGUCCCUUUAGGUUAUUCUUGAACACUAUUAUAACUUUGUGGGGGACCUUAUUAAAGUUUCCUUAGAGUCUGUGGCAUGGGUGUGGCUUUGUCUUGCAGUCAUCACGCUGACAGAGCAUUAUGGGUAAUAUUGAUUGUGAACCUGACCAAGGUCUAGAAUCACCCAGGAGACAAGGCUCUGGGUGUGCCUGGGGGGCAGAGACAAGUCUCUGGGUGUGCCUGGGGGCGGAGACAAGGCUCUGGGUGUACCUGGGGGUGGAGACAAGGUUCUGGGUGUACCUGGGGGCAGAGUUAUGUAGAUGAGGUCAACUGUGGAUGGCAUCAUUUCAGUGGCUUGGGUCCCAAAGUAAAUGAAAAGGAGGAAGCAAACAGGACAAGCAAUCAUCACUCCUUUCUUCCCGACUGAGAACACCACCCUGUGGACAGCAGCUCAAGCCUCUAGCACUUCCCCACCAUGAUGGACUGUAAGGCGUAAGACAAGAAGAGUUUCUCAUUGGAAAGCAGAAGACCAUUAGACACCAGCAGAGGAAGAAGCAUCUCGUCUGAGAAGUCACCGCAUUUCUCUGUCAUUAGUUAAAUAUUGUAUUGCAUUUUGUGGGCAUCCAAAGCUGAGUUAGACAUGGUUCAGUCUUCAAGGACUUUCAGCGGGCUGGGAAGAAGAAACAGACAUGGGCAGUGAGGAUGGUGAAGGACUUGCAGUUCUUAGAACUGGCCUUGGAGAGUCAGGUGGAUCCUGGGGAAGGUGUCAGAGGAGGACAGUGAGGGACAAGGUCAGGGGUGGGGCUUUAGUCAAAGGAGAUGGCAUGUUGUGAGUUGUUUAACCUUGCAUAUUGCAUAGGUGAUAGUGUUGACACUUUAGGGUAUCUCUCUGUUUAGUUCACAAUGUUUUAAUGUUUGAAUGUAUGUAUGCCAGUUAACUCCUACCUACCUCUAGGAUACUUUUGGCUCUGGACCAGACCAACUAUCUGGACGUAGAUGUUUAUAACCAUGCUGUAUACAUUGAAAGUUCAGCUCUGGACAGACUGAACUUGUACCUGAUGUGUGUUGGAGACAGAAGAGAGAUGAGGGACCAUGUGUAGGAAACAGGAGGAGUUGGAGGGAACAUGGAACUGGUAUAAAUAUAGUAAGUGCUCAUGUAUGAAGUUCUCAAAAACUUUAAGGGACAGUUUUAUCAAUAAAAUGUUUCAGGGUCA